UACAAGGGCCAGAAAAGAUUAUUCUAUG
rnacentral:piRNA from 1 species